GGAACCUGACGAUGAGACUUGGAAAUGCUGACGAAUCUAUCGUUCAUCUGAUCUCCGAAGCGCAGUACGAGGUGCACCACGAAACAACUAAUAUUAUGCAUCCAGUGGAGAGGAAAAACGGCACACAAAUCAUCAAACCUUAUACAAGAGUGGAACCCACAAUCUCUUUUUCGGUCUGAUAUUCAUUCUUGCUAGAGAUGUCCAAGGUGUGCUGUGACGAAUUUUUCAUAUUGCGACGUCCAUCAGCGACUGAACGGUAAAACUGCUGAACACUUGUAGUUCACACCGGGUUAGAAUCCCGGCCAAAAGUUUGACUGCAGAAAGACAGAGUUAUUUGUUUGAAAAAACGAAAAAGCUGAAACUUUAUUCAAAUAUGACAGCAACGGAGCGGAAGGGUGUGUUUUCAGAAGAUCUUCGCAACCAGCCGUCAAAUGCCUCCUCAAAGCGCCACUCUUAAAGUCAAGACAAUCCAGUUUUUCCAUUUACGCUUCGCGGGAAACGGAAUACUCCGGGGAAGCGUUGUCAGAGAGCUACCCCCUACUCUUCCUUCUCCAGUAUAAAGAAGUCGAGACCUACCGGAAAGAUGGAUGAAAACCUAAAAAAAGAGAGUUAACCGAAAAGUAUCUUCUCUUAAAGAACUGAAUAUCAAGCCAGAAAAUAGGAUAGCUGAGAAGUAUUGCAUACAUAAUCUAGAUUCAUAAAUUAAAUGGCACUGCUAUCCAAAGGGAAGCGUUGUCAGGUGUUGACAAGGCGUAGUGGGCUGGCUUCCCCUCUGUCACAUCCCGCCUUCCCGUCAUUCUUCAGCUGCUGUUUAGCCAAUGACAAAUCGUCUCACGAACAGUUGGCUCUCGUCGAGAUUUAAUGGGCAAAAAGGAUUUCUGAAGGAAAAAAGAAUGUAGAGGAUUUCAACUUGCAUGUAAGAGGAUUUUUCUUCAGGCAAGCAGUCUAUACCUUAAAUUAAUAUCAAGGGCAUAUGGAUUCAAGUAAAAACAUUUCUUUUCUAACUCUGCUUGGCUCUUGCUGACCACAACCCCCAUCUUCACGCUGAUGCUCACAGUUAUUCGUACCCCAAAUUGACUGGUGGCAGUUAGGUGAAGCAUAUCGUUCUCCGUUGGAAGAAGAAGUCAUGGGGUGCCUGGAACUUACAAAUUUUGCUUUGGCUGCAGUUUGUUUAUCUGGCGAGCUUGUCCUCUUUGCCCUUUUGCAUUUAAAAAAGAAACUCAGGGGAGAAAAAAGGCAGAGCUUUAAAAAUUUCUUUACUUUUCAAUCGAGUUUUGAUGUAUUUCGUUUUGAAACUUAUGAAGAAAAAUGAAAAAUCAGACCAUCAAGUUCAUAAUAGCUGACUGAGUUGUCUUCCGGUAAAAAGGAUAAGGAAAAUUUUUGGGGCGUGCAGUGAUGUGAAGGCGGAGCCGUAGGGCGUUGACGUCACUUUCACAAGCGGCGAAUGGUUGCCAUGGAAACAGAGAUACAGAACACAGCGCCCUCUCCUGGGAAGCGACCGACAUAAAAGCUUUCUUCUGUAGAGAUUUUUUACCUCUUUCUAUCUGAUUUCUUUAGUCCGUUUACUGACUCUCAUAGGGGUCGUAUGCAAAUUUAUGAAAAGUCGAAGAACUCUUAGCCAUGUAAAAGUUAUCUGUCAGAAAAUUCUGUUAAAAUUUUGAAAAAAAAAAAGAACACUUCUUUAUUGAAAUACCAUGCAUUCGAUAGGUAUUGUACAUUAAAUUAAAAUGUAUAGCCUUUGAGAAAAA